ACACAAUGUAAAUAGUCCGGGUAGCCAUUUGAUUACCUGUUCAGGAGUCUUAUGGCUUGGGGGUAAAAACUGUUGAGAAGCCUUUUUGUCCUAGUCUCUGAACUCCUCCCUAUAGGCUGUCUUGUUGUUGUCGGUGAUCAGGGCUACCACUGUUGUGUCGUCUGAAAACUUAAUGAUGGCGUUGGAGUCGUGCCUGGCCAUGCAGUCGUAGGUGAACAGGGAGUACAGGAGGGGACUGAGCACGCACCCCUGGGGGGCUCCAGUGUUGAGGAUCAGCAUGGCAGAUGUGUUGCUGCCUACCCUCACCACCUGGGUGCGGCCGGUCAGGAAGUCCAGCAGGAGUUAGAUGAGGAGCAGGAGUUAGAUGAGAAGCAGGAGGUAGAUGAGGAGCAGGAGGCAGAUGAGGAGCAGGAGGCAGAUGAGGAGCAGGAGGUAGAUGAGGAGCAGGAGGUAGAUGAGGAGCAGGAGGCAGAUGAGGAGCAGGAGUUAGAUGAGGAGCAGGAGGUAGAUGAGGAGCAGGAGGCAGAUGAGGAGCAGGAGGCAGAUGAGGAGCAGGAGGCAGAUGAGGAGCAGGAGGCAGAUGAGGAGCAGGAGGUAGAUGAGAGGAGAAGGUAGAUGAGAAGAGAUGGUAGAAGAGGAGCAGGAGGUAGAUGAGAGGAGAAGGUAGAUGAGAAGAGAUGGUAGAAGAGGA
ensembl:lncRNA